AAGCGAUGCCAGGGGCAGGUGAGGGUCGGACGCGCUCAGGCCCAGCCCUCACCCCUUCAGGUCUGAGGGACACAGUGGAGUCCCAGCCUCAAGAAGUUUCCCCAACCUCUCAGCAACUUGAGAGCAAUGCCAGGCACCGAAUAACCGGCCCCCGCCCCUUAUCCCCGGCCGACCCGUCCGCCGAGGUGGCUGCCCUGGGAACCUCCUGUUCCUGGUCCAGGAGAGGAAACGCACACCCGGGCCGGACGCACAGAAGCCGCACCCUGGCCGGGGCCACAAGCCUGACAGCUACCGACAAGCCCCCACCCACAGGAGCACGCGACGUGCUCUCCUUUCAAGGGAAAGGUUUUUCUUCCUGGGCCCUGGAAUGGGCCUGAAGUCAGCCGGCCUCAGCCCACAGGGUGAAGGAGGGGCGGGCACAGCCCGGCCGCGGCCCCAGCACACACAGGGCGGGCGCAGGGGCGGGGGCGCGCCAGCCCCGCAGUGUGUUCGGAGCCCAGCGGCUCUGAGUCGCCGCCACCAGCCUGGCCGCCUUCUGCUCCACCACCCCUCCCCUGGACCGGCACCGGCACAGAGGAUCAGGAGUGUUGGCACCUGUCUUCCAGGUCUGUUCACCCCUCCCCUGGACCCGCACUGGCACAGAGGGUCAAGAGUGUUGGCAUCUGUCUUCCAGGUCUGUUCACCCCUCCCCUGGACCCACACUGGCACAGAGGGUCAAGAGUGUUGGCACCUGUCUUCCGGGUGUCCAUCCCUCCGUUUGUUUGUUGAGUGACUGCAUGUUCUCAUUUCCUUACAUACAGUUCUUCAAGAGGUAUUAUCCACAUCUUAUUUUAUUUUCACCUUCUUUUCUGUUACCUGUAUGUUUGAAUUUUCCUAUAAGUAUUUUUGUUUCAUCUUUGCUUUUUUAAAUUAAAAAAUCAGUUUUAAAAUUG
rnacentral:antisense_RNA from 1 species